GGUUAAGCGACUAAGCGUACACGGUGGAUGCCCUGGCAGUCAGAGGCGAUGAAGGACGUGCUAAUCUGCGAUAAGCGUCGGUAAGGUGAUAUGAACCGUUAUAACCGGCGAUUUCCGAAUGGGGAAACCCAGUGUGAUUCGUCACACUAUCAUUAACUGAAUCCAUAGGUUAAUGAGGCGAACCGGGGAACUGAAACAUCUAAGUACCCCGAGGAAAAGAAAUCAACCGAGAUUCCCCAGUAGCGGCGAGCGAACGGGGAGCAGCCCAGAGCCUGAAUCAGUGUGUGUGUUAGUGGAAGCGUCUGGAAAGGCGCGCGAUACAGGGUGACAGCCCCGUACACAAAAAUGCACAUACUGUGAGCUCGAUGAGUAGGGCGGGACACGUGGUAUCCUGUCUGAAUAUGGGGGACCAUCCUCCAAGGCUAAAUACUCCUGACUGACCGAUAGUGAACCAGUACCGUGAGGGAAAGGCGAAAAGAACCCCGGCGAGGGAGUGAAAAAGAACCUGAAACCGUGUACGUACAAGCAGUGGGAGCACAGAGCAAUCUGUGUGACUGCGUACCUUUUGUAUAAUGGGUCAGCGACUUAUAUUCUGUAGCAAGGUUAACCGAAUAGGGGAGCCGAAGGGAAACCGAGUCUUAACUGGGCGUUAAGUUGCAGGGUAUAGACCCGAAACCCGGUGAUCUAGCCAUGGGCAGGUUGAAGGUUGGGUAACACUAACUGGAGGACCGAACCGACUAAUGUUGAAAAAUUAGCGGAUGACUUGUGGCUGGGGGUGAAAGGCCAAUCAAACCGGGAGAUAGCUGGUUCUCCCCGAAAGCUAUUUAGGUAGCGCCUCGUGAAUUCAUCUCCGGGGUAGAGCACUGUUUCGGCAAGGGGUCAUCCCGACUUACCAACCCGAUGCAAACUGCGAAUACCGGAGAAUGUUAUCACGGGAGACACACGGCGGGUGCUAACGUCCGUCGUGAAGAGGGAAACAACCCAGACCGCCAGCUAAGGUCCCAAAGUCAUGGUUAAGUGGGAAACGAUGUGGGAAGGCCCAGACAGCCAGGAUGUUGGCUUAGAAGCAGCCAUCAUUUAAAGAAAGCGUAAUAGCUCACUGGUCGAGUCGGCCUGCGCGGAAGAUGUAACGGGGCUAAACCAUGCACCGAAGCUGCGGCAGCGACGCUGAUGCGUUGUUGGGUAGGGGAGCGUUCUGUAAGCCUGUGAAGGUGUGCUGUGAGGCAUGCUGGAGGUAUCAGAAGUGCGAAUGCUGACAUAAGUAACGAUAAAGCGGGUGAAAAGCCCGCUCGCCGGAAGACCAAGGGUUCCUGUCCAACGUUAAUCGGGGCAGGGUGAGUCGACCCCUAAGGCGAGGCCGAAAGGCGUAGUCGAUGGGAAACAGGUUAAUAUUCCUGUACUUGGUGUUACUGCGAAGGGGGACGGAGAAGGCUAUGUUGGCCGGGCGACGGUUGUCCCGGUUUAAGCGUGUAGGCUGGUUUUCCAGGCAAAUCCGGAAAAUCAAGGCUGAGGCGUGAUGACGAGGCACUACGGUGCUGAAGCAACAAAUGCCCUGCUUCCAGGAAAAGCCUCUAAGCAUCAGGUAACAUCAAAUCGUACCCCAAACCGACACAGGUGGUCAGGUAGAGAAUACCAAGGCGCUUGAGAGAACUCGGGUGAAGGAACUAGGCAAAAUGGUGCCGUAACUUCGGGAGAAGGCACGCUGAUAUGUAGGUGAAGUCCCUCGCGGAUGGAGCUGAAAUCAGUCGAAGAUACCAGCUGGCUGCAACUGUUUAUUAAAAACACAGCACUGUGCAAACACGAAAGUGGACGUAUACGGUGUGACGCCUGCCCGGUGCCGGAAGGUUAAUUGAUGGGGUCAGCGCAAGCGAAGCUCUUGAUCGAAGCCCCGGUAAACGGCGGCCGUAACUAUAACGGUCCUAAGGUAGCGAAAUUCCUUGUCGGGUAAGUUCCGACCUGCACGAAUGGCGUAAUGAUGGCCAGGCUGUCUCCACCCGAGACUCAGUGAAAUUGAACUCGCUGUGAAGAUGCAGUGUACCCGCGGCAAGACGGAAAGACCCCGUGAACCUUUACUAUAGCUUGACACUGAACAUUGAGCCUUGAUGUGUAGGAUAGGUGGGAGGCUUAGAAGUGUGGACGCCAGUCUGCAUGGAGCCGACCUUGAAAUACCACCCUUUAAUGUUUGAUGUUCUAACGUUGACCCGUAAUCCGGGUUGCGGACAGUGUCUGGUGGGUAGUUUGACUGGGGCGGUCUCCUCCUAAAGAGUAACGGAGGAGCACGAAGGUUGGCUAAUCCUGGUCGGACAUCAGGAGGUUAGUGCAAUGGCAUAAGCCAGCUUGACUGCGAGCGUGACGGCGCGAGCAGGUGCGAAAGCAGGUCAUAGUGAUCCGGUGGUUCUGAAUGGAAGGGCCAUCGCUCAACGGAUAAAAGGUACUCCGGGGAUAACAGGCUGAUACCGCCCAAGAGUUCAUAUCGACGGCGGUGUUUGGCACCUCGAUGUCGGCUCAUCACAUCCUGGGGCUGAAGUAGGUCCCAAGGGUAUGGCUGUUCGCCAUUUAAAGUGGUACGCGAGCUGGGUUUAGAACGUCGUGAGACAGUUCGGUCCCUAUCUGCCGUGGGCGCUGGAGAAUUGAGGGGGCUGCUCCUAGUACGAGAGGACCGGAGUGGACGCAUCACUGGUGUUCGGGUUGUCAUGCCAAUGGCACUGCCCGGUAGCUAAAUGCGGAAGAGAUAAGUGCUGAAAGCAUCUAAGCACGAAACUUGCCCCGAGAUGAGUUCUCCUGACUCCUUGAGAGUCCUGAAGGAACGUUGAAGACGACGACGUUGAUAGGCCGGGUGUGUAAGCGCAGCGAUGCGUUGAGCUAACCGGUACUAAUGAACCGUGAGGCUUAACCUU
rnacentral:rRNA from 1 species